CUUACUGAAAGGUUUAUCACCUAGAGGUUGAGAAACCUCUUACGACUUGUGUCACAUUUAGCAAAAACAAAUAUCUGGAAGUUUAAGAAGAGUUUGGUGAAAAGAAAAAUUUAUCAUAAACUUUUAUCUAUCGGAUACUAUUAUACGUCAGAUAUUUUUAUCAGUAACCGGUGAAAAGUGUCGAUAUUUUUAUCAGUAACCGGUGAAAAAGGUCCUAAGUGUCGUUUAUCGCCACCAUAGACUAGAUUCUCUGUCUUAAGAACUGAAGACUAACAGCAUUUUGUCUAUGAAAAAAGUCUAUUAAACUGUAGAAAUGAAUAGAAAUAGUAAAUUGCAUAAAAAUGUGUUAAAGAUUCUAUUUUGAAGUAAGCGGUUGAUUGAUGUGUGUAAUAGAGGUUUGGACAAUGUGCU
rnacentral:misc_RNA from 1 species